CCUCUCCUACCUCCGCCACCGCGUGCUCUCGCACCACCUCUCGUUCUGCAUCGUCCUCCCCCGCUGGCUCUCUCCCCCUCCUCUCUGCCCCCAGUCCUCUGUCGGCUGCCACACGCCGGAGGAACCAGGAUCCAUGACCAGCAGCAUGACCAUUCGAUUGGAGGAUCCCAGGGGCUACAAGAACAGUUCUGUAGAAUACUUGGCCCAAAUCUGACUGUUCGAGCAGGAAAUGCACAUCCUGGAUGUGACAUAAUUAACAUCUGAUGGAUAUCCUCAAAUCUCUUGAGCUGGAGUUCAUCUAUCUCAUCUGAAAGACUUCAAGCCCAUGUACAGUCCUCUUGGUCCCUUCAGAAGUACCAUAUAAGUGCAGUGUAUGUUGUGCUGAUCAGAGUGUAUGUUGUGCGGAUCAGAGUGGGGCAGGGGCAGGGGCAUAUAGGGCAAAGAUUAGUUUUCUAUUUCGGGACAAGCUAUCUUCGAAGAUGGCUCCAAGGUCAUCUGAGCUCUUCCAUUUGAAGCCGGUCAUCAGGGCACUGGAGAGACAGUGGCAUCAAAUAUGAGCCCAGAAGAACCAUCAACCUCGAGUACCAAGUCCUUUGCCGUGUAAUAGUGGUUAUUACAUAUCAGUCUUAUAUAUCUGUUUUCCUUAAUUUUCUUUGAAUGACAUAUACUGGAUGGAGUAUAUUUGGAGUCCAAACAAACAUUGAGUAGUUGCCGUUGCAACUGCAACUGUUAUAUUCUAUGUGGGUUGGAUGGUUGUCUCUGUAUGACAGAUGCUUCCUUGCAUGAAGAUUCUCGAUUGUUUAUUUCUGGUGCACGUCAUCUGUCUCGAUCUGAUGGUAGCUAUCUUCCUUUGAUCUGCUUGUGUACAUGCUAUUACAUGCGUUUGACUCACCUAUUUUGUAUCGAGCAGAUGUGACAUGCUCAAUUAGUGGUACAUACUGUGUACUGAUGCUUGCAAUGGUUUUUUUAAUGAUGUGUAGUGAUUUUUGUUACUUUAAUUUUUUGUGGUUUGUAAGCCUCCUGAUUCUAUCAUUAUAAUAACCUCAUAUCAAUACUGUCGGUGUUAGUUUCCUCGCUGAUAAUGUGGUACCUAUUCAGUCAGAAUUUUCCUGGAAGAGUAAAACAGGAUGACUACAAUUUUAGUGUCCGGCAUGUGUUUUGUAUUGUUUACCAGAGCCUAUGUUAGUUUACUCAAAUUAGAAUUAUGCCUUUUAAAUUAUGUGACACAUCUUCCUGUACACUAAGAUAAUUCAUGUAUUAUAAGCAAAAUAAUGCAAAAUCUGAUUUUACUGGAAUCCUUUCUCUGGUUUCAUGACUUCAUGGCUUUCGAAACAUGUGGCCCAACACCAAGAAUCAUUCCUCUUAAUGUUUAAUUUUGUGAAAUGUUAGAUGCAGUAGUUUUACUGAUAAUGGAAGGGUCUGAGUACUUCCAUUGGCAAAAAGUGUGAAGUGAAUCUCAAGAUAGCUUUGCUCUUUGUAUCAUUGUCAAUUUCUUUAUUUCCUUUGGAAAUGACAAAAUGGGGUUUGUUUUUGCAGCUUGUAGAAAUUCUUAGUAAGGGAAGAUUGGUUAAUAAAUGAAUUUGUCAGUCCAUAUUUGAACGGCGCUUGAUUGUUUCUACCAAUUU